GUUCUAGGCGGAAACUGUAGAUGGCGUUGAUGUGCGUUUAUGAUGAAGAUUACGAGUGACAAGUUAAAUUGGUGUUUGUUACGUUGCUCUGUUUUGUGUUUCAAAAGAUUUUUCAUCAAAAAAUGUACGAUUGCUUUUUGUAUGUGGUGGUGUUUCACUCUGUCAGCUAUGCCAGCUGCUGAACCAGCAGCCUGCAUUCUGCUAUCAAUGUACCACAAGGAAUCCUGACACUUUAAGAAGGCCACUAUUCCUUACAUGAAGAUCAUCAUCCAGUUCAAUCAACCACAGAGUCCUUAUCUACUGUGUUGCUAAGCCUUCAGCAUCCCAGGUAUCCAGAUUUCUAAGCUUCUCUAAUUAGCCAACCAUCAUCCAUACACUUCAGCUAUUAGGCUUGUCUUCCUCUCUUCUUAGUCUGUCGAAUGCCAACAUGGAAUAAGGUUCAUCGCCUUACCCUGAGAAUUUUCAUUGUUAAUCCUGCUGUUCUUCUCACCGUUACUUAGCCAACUAACAUGGAUAGGCUUUAACACCAUCUCCAUUUUUUGGACUGCAAAUAUUCAUCUUUCUUGGGUGCAACACUGCCGUUUCGACAAUUUCGGUAGUUUUGCCCCCAAUGGAGCACACGCAUUUACAUUUUCUUCGUCUUCCUUUCGUUGUUGUCUACGCCUUCGCCUCAUCGCUGUCCUCAUCAACGUCUUCGCCUCAUCACUGUCUUCGUCGACGUCUUCGCCUCAUCACUGUCUUCGUCGACGUCUUCGCCUCCAUCUCCGUCUCGUCGUCGUCUUGGCCGUCUUCGCCUUUGUUUCAUCGCCGUCUUGGCCGUCUUUGUCGACGCCAUCACCUCGUCGCCAUCACCUCGUCGCCGGCUUCGCCUUUAGGGGGUUCACCGUGGAUCGUCGCCCUGGUAUUGAUUUAUUUUGCAUUGUAAUGUUUAAGUUAACCCGUUGGCUGCCACCCCGUUUGCGUCCCAUUUUUUUUGUAGCUUGUAGGGACCGGCCGCAAUGGCCUUCGCCGCAAGGCGCCUUAGGCAAUG